rnacentral:sRNA from 1 species
AGCUGCGAGGGCGCAACAAGUGCAGAGCCCCAAAGGCCCCAAAGCCCCAACCCGUGUGGGUGUCGUGCCGUGCCUGACUCUUCGUUUGGCUUUCGUGGCGUGCUGGUCGUGACUCUCUGCCACCGUCGCACCCGUGUGUCGAUUGAAAAUCUUGCGUCGGCGGUGAGCGGCAUUGUUUAUAAAAAUUUUGUGUUGUAAAUACCGCGUGUGUGUAAGUGCAUGGAGAAGGGCGCUCGUUUGCGCGUGUAUUUGUGUUGGUUCUCAGUGGCUUUUUCGAAGUAUUGUUUGAUUAUUCCCCGUGCAGCGUGUGAAAAAACGAAUGCUAAAUAGAAUUGAAAUAGCGAAAAAGCUUGAAGAGCUUAGGAGGUGCGAAAGCGAGGAAGAGGAGAAGAGCUUAGUGGUGCGAAAACGAAAAAGAGCAAAAGCACCAUCACCUUUGUGUCAGCAGAAGUCGAAGCAGCGACGGCGACUGCACAGCCGGCAUUGAACAAGCAAUAAAACAGAAGAGAGCAAGUAAAAGAUAACAGCAAAACGCAACACGACGUCAGCGGGCCCCACAUUCCAGCGGGCAGCGGGCAUUUUGUGCGUCGCCAUUUCGAAGGUCAGGCCACCAACUUCAAGUCAGGCUUGGGGUCACCGUUACCCCGAAUUUUUGCAGCAGCAGAAAAAGCGCAGUAAGCAGCAGCAGCACCGCAGCAUCAGAGUCGCAG